CUCCCAAAGUGCUGGGAUUACAGGCGUGAGCCACCGCGCCCGGCCUACUCUUGAGGAAUUUGGUUGUGAGGGAGAUGCUGUCAGCAGUUAGGGCUUUACAAAUCUAAGCAUAAACAUUGCUGACAAUUACUUGGAUUUUUUUCCUGUUCUGCAUCUAAUGAUAAGAUUCUUAUAAGGAUGUUCUCUUCUUGUAGCUUUUUGCCUGAUUAUCAUAAACAAAGUAUAAUCAUGUGUUUUUUCUUGUCGAUCUUCCCUAAUGGACGGUAGAGCACAUGCUGGAAGGGAUGUGCGCAUUUCAUUCAUGGCUGUGCCCAGUUUCUCACGGUGCCUAGCCCAAAUGUUUCAUGACUAUUUACUAAAGCUGUAUUUCUUAUUUCUCUAAGUGAACAGAGAUGUGAUGAGAGAAUAAAGGGGAAAAGCACCCCCUAAAAAACUUAUUACUUCUCAAGGUGUCCCAUGUUGAGAUAAAAGCAGAGUAAACCUCAUGCCUGAAUAUGUCCUGUUUCCUAGAAGACGCCUGCCUGGUACCAGGGAGCUUUGUGAAAGGCUCAGAACCUUCUGCUGGGUGCCUGGAGUUACAAAGUGAGAGCAGCUGCCAUUUUCUUUGCCCCGAGGAGCUGGCUCGGUGACCUCCUCCAGUCAUGGAAAGUCCCUUCUCCAGUUAGACUCUGGCUUUCCACUGGCUUCUCCUGCUGCUAAAAUAAAACCGGGCGAAUCCCUCAGUAAACCGUGGAGCAUGAAGAGAUGGGGCUGCUUCUCCAGCAUUUGUCCGAGCUGGCCAGACAUCUGUGGAGUGACAAGGCCUUUCCAAGAAGGCAGAGCCAGAGUGAUGAGAUCCACACAGGUGUAAAUCUCCUGCAGCCCCUCUCCUUCCUGUGUGAACGCAGAGUUGGCUCUACAGAGGGUGAGUGGAGCAUCUGGCAGUGGUUACUUUGCUGAAGUCACUGUAAUUUUGGUGAAACAGCACCAAGAUUGAUCGCUCCCUCCCCUCCUCUAAAUAUUGGAGGUUCAGAAGACAGGGAUCUGGUCUCUCCGAACCACAUCAAGGUCAUCAUCCAAAGUUAACAAAACCUGAAAUGAGAGGGAUGGAGGAAUGAAAGGAAUGGACAGCCACUGUCACACUUAGUCCCUGUUUUCUCUCAGAGACGUCCACAGACUGGAAACUAUACACCACUAAUUUCCUAGGCCUGGGCUCUGCCGUCUAUGGACUGGACAUAAUGACACUCUCGCUUGGGUAUUUGUUGAUGGAUGGAGAUGAUGAGAAAGUUGCGAAUGCGAAGAUGAACACUACUCAAGGCUUUCGACCAUGUUAAGCAUCCGCUGGGACCACCAUCCUAAUACAAUAUGCAAUGGAGAUCAAGUCAGCAGCGUCUGCAGUGCUUACAGAUUUAUGAAGUGCCAUCCUGAGAAUGAUAACCACAUGUGGUUAUUGUGCAUUUAUGUGUGGCUAUUAAAAACCAUCCCUUGUAGAGAAAACUUUCAUUUUAGACACUGUGAAAACACGUUGAGAGAGAGAGGUAGAAAGGCCAAAAUGGCAAAUUGGAGAGAGGAGUUCUUGGAGAAGCAAACUAGCCUCUUACCUCCCAGCUGCUGAGAUUCUGGAAGAAAAAGUACAGGGCGGCAGCCCACAUCACAGCGGUGGCCACGAUGCAGACCAGCGGCACUGGGAGGACCUUCUCGGAGCUGCGGAGCUGUCGGGAGAGACCAGAUGCGGCCUCGCAAGACCCCGCCUGCGCCAGCCCGGGGGCCGAGGCAACCGCUCCUGGUGCCCGCUCUUACCUUCAUGAUGAUGUAAAAGGCCAGGUACAGCAACAGGUUACAGAUGAAGAUGCCCAGCAUGUAGGAAGCAAAGUCCCUGGGGCGGUAUAUCAAUCCGAAGAGGGCGCUGUGGGUGUGGGAGAAAUGUGGGCAGCCGUGAAAGCGGGUUUGUAACACUAUUGGCUUUUCCAAUGCCCCAGCCCCUUGAAGGGGAAGGGGCAGGUUCUUCUUUUUUAAAACAAAAACUUUUAUUUUUAGUUAACUUCA